UUUGAACAACAUUUCGACAGAAUGUCUGUCUUUCUCAAGUUCAAACCAAAAGGUGAUUGAACUUGAGAAAGACAGACGUUCUGUCGAAAUGUUGUUAACAAAAU
rnacentral:pre_miRNA from 1 species